CAGAGAAAGAAGUUAUAGCACAUGAGCUGUCCAUGUGCCAUAGCUACUCUGUAAGGGAAGAUGAGCAGGGGGGACAAGAACCCUGGUGAGGCAGAAAGGGCAGGAGCCUCAAGGUCAUCCAAGUGACAAGGCCAGGAGAUCAAGCUGGAAAGCCAAGGACUAGUCUGAGGCCCAGUCUAGGUCAGAGAGGUGCACAGCCAGUUGAUAGUCAACUCGGAAGAUGACAAAAAAAUAACACCACUAUGAGGAGCAGUUUAUAUUUAAUCCACACUAUAUUCUACUUUGAAUUUUGACAUAAUUCAAGAUAAAAGCUGAAGACAACAAUUAUUUUAAAAUGAGGGAAACUGUGGUAAUAAAAAUGUCACAAACUUUGACAACUUUUA